rnacentral:misc_RNA from 1 species
UUUCCGUAGGUGAACCUGCGGAAGGAUCAUUAAUGAGUUGUCAUGGGGUUCGACGCUGGCAGCCAGUUUUUGGAUGCAUGUGCUUGCCCUAACAAUCAUCUUCUUCCAAACACCUGUGCACAUUUUUGAGGGAGUCUUGAGUUGGUUGCCGCUCUUGGGUGAUUUUCUCACAUUCCCUUAAAUCAUUAUACGCUAUUAACUAUGUUGAACGUGCUCUGUGCCGCAAGGCCAUUAAUAUAAUACAACUUUUAACAACGGAUCUCUUGGCUCUC